rnacentral:rRNA from 1 species
UACGGAGUGUGCAAGCGUUACUCGGAAUCACUGGGCAUAAAGCGCGCGUAGGCGGGCUUUCAAGUCGGUUGUGAAAUCCCUCAGCUCAACCGCGGGCCUGCAGCCGAUACGGGCAGGCUAGAGUUCGGUAGGGGGAGACUGGAAUUCCUGGUGUAGCGGUGAAAUGCGCAGAUAUCAGGAGGAACACCGAUGGCGAAGGCAGGUCUCUGGGCCGAUACUGACGCUGGAGGAGCGAAAGCGUGGGGAGCGAACAGG